rnacentral:lncRNA from 1 species
GGCACAGAGGGAGAGAAAGAAAGGAAGGAGAGAAGAAAAGGAAGGAGGAAGAGGAGGAGCAGGAGAGGGAGGAGGAAGAGAGGAGAAAGUGAGGGGGAGAAGACAAAAAGGAAGGGAAGGGGAGGAGGAGGAGGCCAUAGGGACGGGUGAAGGUGGGUGGGAGGCAGUGAGAAGAAUUCUGCUUGUUCUAAGGAAUCCAUCCAGGUGAAGGCUAUGGAAAGAGAGGUUGAGAAACAUGCGUCGAGUUCACCAGAGAUAUUUUCUGUUUUAUUGACCAUUACAUCUCUGGAGCCUGAACAGUGCUUGCCACGUAGCAGACAGUUGCUGAAUGACUACUCUAGCUGUGAAUGGAAGAAACAGGAACACCAAGUCUGAUAAUAUGCAGCUGACAGUAAGCUGUGCUCUGCCUGGUUCCUGUUUGAAUCACGCAGCUGUCCUGGUCCUAACAUCUCUCCUGCCUGUGAGACCAACACCUCCCCGAUGGAUUCACCAGCCUCCCCAUCUGCUCUGCCUCUUCAGUUUUCAACCUUAGCUACUUGUGUCCUUGUAUAUCAUCCUCCACUACCUAUGGAUCGUCCUCAUUCAGCACAGCUGGCUGUUUCUCUUCCAGUUUCAUCACCUCCCUCAAAGAGUUAACUGUUUUAGUUCAGGAUUCCAUCCAUGUUUUUGCCUAGAACAUUACAUGAGCCUCCCAGAUGACCUUUACUCCUCUAGUAAUUAUAAUAAUGGCUAUAAUUU